rnacentral:rRNA from 1 species
AUUGAACGCUGGCGGCAGGCCUAACACAUGCAAGUCGAGCGGUAACAGGAAUCAGCUUGCUGAUUCGCUGACGAGCGGCGGACGGGUGAGUAAUGUCUGGGAAACUGCCUGAUGGAGGGGGAUAACUACUGGAAACGGUAGCUAAUACCGCAUAACGUCUUCGGACCAAAGUGGGGGACCUUCGGGCCUCAUGCCAUCAGAUGUGCCCAGAUGGGAUUAGCUAGUAGGUGGGGUAACGGCUCACCUAGGCGACGAUCCCUAGCUGGUCUGAGAGGAUGACCAGCCACACUGGAACUGAGACACGGUCCAGACUCCUACGGGAGGCAGCAGUGGGGAAUAUUGCACAAUGGGCGCAAGCCUGAUGCAGCCAUGCCGCGUGUAUGAAGAAGGCCUUCGGGUUGUAAAGUACUUUCAGCGGGGAGGAAGGUGUUGUGGUUAAUAACCAGAGCAAUUGACGUUACCCGCAGAAGAAGCACCGGCUAACUCCGUGCCAGCAGCCGCGGUAAGAC